UACGAAGGGGGCUAGCGUUGUUCGGAAUCACUGGGCGUAAAGCGUACGUAGGCGGACCGUUAAGUCGGGGGUGAAAUCCCAGGGCUCAACCCUGGAACUGCCUUCGAUACUGGCGGUCUGGAGUCCGGGAGAGGUGAGUGGAACUCCUAGUGUAGAGGUGAAAUUCGUAGAUAUUAGGAAGAACACCAGUGGCGAAGGCGGCUCACUGGCCCGGUACUGACGCUGAGGUACGAAAGCGUGGGGAGCAAACAGGG
rnacentral:rRNA from 1 species